GGUGUUUUGUUUUUUCUGAGUCAAAAUCUUCUUCCACUCUAACAAGCUCUCCAACUUUGCCUCGGUUUAUGUUUACCGAUUUGCCCACUGGAAGAAAACAGACGCAAAGUUAGGAUAUGAAACAUUCUGCCUAUGCAAAUGGAAAGUGAAAACCACCCCUUGAGUUGUAGUGGCGUCCCUGACAAGACCUUCAGCUGGCCCAGACCACCCAGACAAGUUGGAGAGAACUCACAUUAGUUUGGAUAUAGGUUCCAUGCCUAGGUAUCAGUGUCCUCAAAUAUAAGGUGCAAUAUCAGAAGACAGCAAUCUCAUCUUUAUGAAAACCUUGAAAUUGUAUGAUAGAAGGGAAGUAGCAAUGGAUUUAAAUCAAGUUCUCUCAUCAAAUAACUGUCUGGACUCUGAGCCACCCAGUUAACCUUUUGGGACUUCAAUUUCCUCAUCUGUGAAAUCAGGAAAGUGACCCAGAUGAUGUCUAACAAUCUUUCUAACUCUAAAAUUCUAUGAUCCAUUUGCUCCCCUAAAUUCUC